AUCAAGAUCUCAAUUGAGGUAAGACUACCCGCUGAAUUUAAGCAUAUAAUUAAGCGGAGGAAAAGAAACUAACAAGGAUUCCCUCAGUAACGGCGAGUGAAGCGGGAAGAGCUCAAACCGAAAAUCUCUGUCGCAAGACAGCGAAUUGUGGUCUAUUGAAGCGUGUCUCAGUGUGCAGUCCCGGCCUAAAUCGAUUGGAACAUCGUAUCAGAGAGGGUGAGAAUCCCGUUCUUGGCUGGGUGUCUGCCGCGUUCGAGCCGUUCUCAAAGAGUCGGGUUGCUUGGGAGUGCAGCCCUAAGUGGGUGGUAAAUUUCAUCUAAAGCUAAAUACAUGUGGGAGACCGAUAGCGAACAAGUACCGUGAGGGAAAGAUGAAAAGAACUUUGAAAAGAGAGUUAAAAAGUACUUGAAAUUGCUGAGAACGAAGGGAUGGCGACUAGUAAUGACUCGGGCGAUCCUCGGGCUGCGGUCGAUCUGGUGUUUGUGAUUGCCUAGCUUCACUUGCAUCGGGUGUCGGCUGUGGUUCGGGAUCAGAUCGUUCGGGUCUAGGUCAGAAUGGAUUCGCAGCGGUUGAAACUGGCGGCGGGAAGGUAACUUGGACGUCAAAAUCCUCGAACUUAUAGCCCGCCGUUUAGAGACUGUUGUGGAUUGAGGUGCUGAGGCGCGCGCUCUAAGCUCUUGAUGCGUCGACCGCUGUUGGGUUCGCCGCCGUUGGGGAACAAAGUUCCGUUUCGGUCGGCAGCCUGCACUCGGACGUCGCUCAUUUGUCGCGCUCGGGAUUCUGACGAAAUGGUCGUCAUUCACCCGUCUUGAAACACGGACCAAGGAGUCUUACAUAUAUGCGAGUAAUCGAGUGGAAAACUCGCUUGCGCAAUGAAGGUGAUUGAAUGUGAUCCCGCUUGCCGGGAGCAACAUCGGGCGGCUAAGAUAACUGUACGACCAUGAGCAUAUCUGUA
rnacentral:rRNA from 1 species